GCUGGCGGCACGCCUAACACAUGCAAGUCGAACGCAGUAGCAAUACUGAGUGGCAAACGGGUGAGUAUAAUGUGGGAAUCUGCCUUUUGGUUUGGAAUAACACGGGGAAACUUGUGCUAAUACCGAAUAAGCCUUUACGGGGAAAGUUUUAACGCCGAAAGAUGAGCCUGCACUUGAUUAGCUAGUUGGUAAGGUAAAAGCUUACCAAGGCGACGAUCAAUAGCUGUUCUUAGAGGAAGACCAGCCACAUUGGGACUGAGACACGGCCCAGACUCCUACGGGAGGCAGCAGUGGGGAAUCUUGCACAAUGGGGGAAACCCUGAUGCAGCGAUGCCGCGUGAGUGAAGAAGGCCUUUGGGUUGUAAAACUCUUUCGUCGGGGAAGAAAAUGACUGUACCCGAAUAAGAAGGUCCGGCUAACUUCGUGCCAGCAGCCGCGGUAAUACGAAGGGACCUAGCGUAGUUCGGAAUUACUGGGCUUAAAGAGCUCGUAGGUGGUUAAAAAAGUUGAUGGUGAAAUCCCAAGGCUCAACCUUGGAACUGCCAUCAAAACUUUUUAGCUAGAGUGUGAUAGAGGUAAGUGGAAUUUCUAGUGUAGAGGUGAAAUUCGUAGAUAUUAGAAAGAACACCAAAUGCGAAGGCAACUUACUGGGUCACUACUGACACUGAGGAGCGAAAGCAUGGGUAGCGAAGAGGAUUA
rnacentral:rRNA from 1 species